rnacentral:sRNA from 1 species
GAUGCAUUUCAACAAGUCUCAUAAG